AUAACGACUCUCGGCAACGGAUAUCUCGGCUCUCGCAUCGAUGAAGAACGUAGCGAAAUGCGAUACUUGGUGUGAAUUGCAGAAUCCCGUGAACCAUCGAGUCUUUGAACGCAAGUUGCGCCCCAAGCCUUUGGGCCGAGGGCACGUCUGCCUGGG
rnacentral:rRNA from 1 species